rnacentral:rRNA from 1 species
UACGAAGGGGGCUAGCGUUGUUCGGAAUUACUGGGAGUAAAGCGCGUGUAGGCGGGCCGUUAAGUCGGGGGUGAAAGCCCAGAGCUCAACUCUGGAACUGCCUUCGCUACUGGCGGCCUGGAGCAUGAUAGAGGCGAGUGGAAUUGCGAGUGUAGAGGUGAAAUUCGUAGAUAUUCGCAGGAACACCAGUGGCGAAGGCGUCUCGCUGGAUCAUUGCUGACGCUGAGACGCGAAAGCGCGGGGAGCAAACAGG